rnacentral:rRNA from 1 species
CAAUAGCGUAUAUUUAAGUUGUUGCAGUUAAAAAGCUCGUAGUUGGAUUUCGGGUGGGACGCAGCGGUCUCGCAUUGCGUUUGUACUGCUGCAGCCCUCCUUCUUGCCGGGGGCGGCCUCUCGGACGUCACUGUCUGGGGGUCAGAAUCGGCGAUGUUACUUUGAGUAAAUUAGAGUGUUCAAAGCAAGCUUACGCUCUGAAUAUAAUAGCAUGGGAUAACACGACAGGACUCUGGCCUAUCGUGUUGGUCUAUAGGACCAGAGUAAUGAUUAAGAGGGACAGUCGGGGGCAUUCGUAUUCCGUUGUCAGAGGUGAAAUUCUUGGAUUUACGGAAGACGAACAUCUGCGAAAGCAUUUGCCAAGGAUGUUUUCAUUG